GACGAACGCUGGCGGCAUGCCUAACACAUGCAAGUCGAACGGAGAUUAUUUCGGUAAUCUUAGUGGCGAACGGGUGAGUAACGCGUGGGCAACCUGCCCUCUAGAUGGGGACAACAUCCCGAAAGGGGUGCUGAUACCGAAUGUGACAGCAAUCUCGCAUGAGGAUGCUGUGAAAGAUGGCCUCUAUUUAUAAGCUAUCGCUAGAGGAUGGGCCUGCGUCUGAUUAGCUAGUUGGUGGGGUAACGGCCUACCAAGGCGAUGAUCAGUAGCCGGUCUGAGAGGAUGAACGGCCACAUUGGGACUGAGACACGGCCCAGACUCCUACGGGAGGCAGCAGUGGGGAAUCUUCCGCAAUGGGCGAAAGCCUGACGGAGCAAUGCCGCGUGAGUGAUGAAGGAAUUCGUUCCGUAAAGCUCUUUUGUUUAUGACGAAUGUGCAGAUUGUGAACAAUGAUCUGUAAUGACGGUAGUAAACGAAUAAGCCACGGCUAACUACGUG
rnacentral:rRNA from 1 species